GUUAUAUGGUCAAGUGAAGAAGCGCAUACGGUGGAUGCCUUGGCAGUCAGAGGCGAUGAAAGACGUGGUAGCCUGCGAAAAGCUUCGGGGAGUCGGCAAACAGACUGUGAUCCGGAGGUAUCUGAAUGGGGGAACCCAGCCAUCAUAAGAUGGUUAUCUUGUACUGAAUACAUAGGUGCAAGAGGCGAACCAGGGGAACUGAAACAUCUAAGUACCCUGAGGAAAAGAAAUCAACCGAGAUUCCCUUAGUAGUGGCGAGCGAACGGGGACCAGCCCUUAAGUUGUAUUGAGAUUAGCGGAAC
rnacentral:rRNA from 1 species